rnacentral:rRNA from 1 species
AGCGAACGUUUGCGGCGGGCCUAACACAUGCAAGUCGAACGCACUAGCAAUAGUGAGUGGCGCACGGGUGCGUAACACGUGGGUAAUCAACCCCUUCAGCUUGGGAUAACGACUUGAAAGGGUCGCUAAUACCGGAUACGGCGAGAGAGGCUUCGGCAUUUCUCGAGAAAGCCUCGCAAGGGGCACUGAAGGACGAGCCUGCGGCCCAUCAGCUAGUUGGUGAGGUAAGAGCUCACCAAGGCGAAGACGGGUAGCUGGUCUGAGAGGAUGAUCAGCCACACUGGAACUGAGACACGGUCCAGACUCCUACGGAGGCAGCAGUGGGGAAUAUUGCGCAAUGGGCGAAAGCCUGACGCAGCCACGCCGCGUGAGCGAUGAAGGCCUUCGGUCGUAAGCUCUGUGGGAGGAGACGAAGAAAGACCGGUG